rnacentral:rRNA from 5 species
UCUAGUGAUGAUGGCAAAGAGGUCACACCCGUUCCCAUACCGAACACGGAAGUUAAGCUCUUUAGCGCCGAUGGUAGUUGGGGGCUUCCCCCUGCGAGAGUAGGACGUCGCUAGGC